ensembl:lncRNA
AGGAAACAAACCAGCAUGUUUCAAAAACUGUAGACUGACCUGUUACAACCUUUACAAUUCUUUGCUUUCUCGCUCUCUAUGCAGCAAGAAAGUUGCAAAGUGUUUGUUUCACAAGUCUUAUUGGAUAUUAUUCUUCCUUUUUCUUGUAACUUAACAUUAAACACUCCCGUUACGCACACAAACCAUUUUCUUUUCAAAUUGCCACCAUACCAUUUUUCAAAGAAAACAAUAGCUAGUGCUGAUUCAUUCACAGAACUAAUGCAAAGCUUGUGUCGCAGCGCGUACAUUAGCCCACACAAGAGACCAACCCUCAGAUGGGAGCAUAAAAGCUUCCUUUGCUCUGGCGAUCAUGCCUCAGAGGGCCAGAUCCUCAUCAACACCAUGAGGUCCAGCUAUCACGAUACAACCAGCCGUUUACCAACCGCUUGAUGCAGAAUCAUCCAGACCAAGACAUAAGAAGUGAACCACAGCACAUGGCAGUUUGCCUGAGCCUCUUGGUGAUAAGAGGUUCAUUCCAAAAUGCUGAAAUAUUUAAAAAAGAGAAGCACAUAUCAAAAGUACUAAAAAUUAGAUUAGCUAAUUAAUUUGCAUUAGCAUCCACAAAACAUACUUUAAAAUAAAAUAAAAUAUAUAUAUAUAUAAGUUUUGUGGACCAGAAGGACACUACUGUAGAAGAAUGUUGAAUCAGCAGUAAGUUCCUGUUAUUCCAAUUGAAUUUCCUGUGUGCUGUGGCCAUUUUAAUUCAAAUUUACACUUGUGAAAUGAAAAGGGAACCAGUUAUUAAAUUAAAUUGUGCCCAACCUUGCCUCAUGAAUAUCUCAUUUAGAUGCUACAAAGUCUCAGCAUGUCUCGAACAGAACUUACAUGUUUUUCGAAGACCCAGCCUUGCAAACUUUGUCAAAUGCAGUAACUGGUUCUUCUCAGAAAUGCUCAGAAUGUGUAAACGUACCUAACAUUGCGUAAAGCCGGUAAAUCAGGUUUCAGCGUGGCGCUUUGAGGAGCCUCUUGCCGUUUCUGUGUGCAGUAUUCAUCAGACGACCCAAGACAGCUUACCUGAGACUGAACUUCCACAUCAGAUACUGAUCUGUCGACACUGAGAAAGCCUCUUAAAGCUGUUUAUCUUGGUUAAAACUGCUACUUCAACUGUCUAGUUUACCUGUAAGUGGUCUGAGAUCUGACAGAAUAUCUCUUUCUUUCUUUCCCACACACACAUUUGGCUGGUGUGCUUACGUGAGAAGAAAGAAAUCAAAUGUUUGACCUCAAGCGGUGUUCAUUUACAAACACAUUUCACUUUAUUUCCAUUGAAUAUUCCUCCCUUGUUUUGGACAAAACCCUUCCGGGUCCUGAACCCGAAUGCGAGGGAAAACAUAACAAAUGCUCAAGGACUGUUGAGAUGAAUGCCGUUCCAUCAUUACUGACUUAACCUCAUAUUACGCACCUCAUUCACGCUGAGCGUCUCCUUGGGUUUUCUGAAAUGAAAGUGAUUCCGAAGAGGUGAGAGUGCAGAUCGAGAGUGAGACAGAAGAGAUGAAGUGAACCCAGGUCAGGGAUGUGAUUGGACUGUCAUGAUCCAGAGCCGCUGUGUCAGGAUGUCUGAUGCAAGCUGCCUAAGCUUUUGCACAAGCAAACAGAUGAAAGUCCUGAUCUCACCGCAGUUCUUUUCCACACAUGCGUGUGAUAUUUCUUAAUCUUCUGGGCUACUGUCUCUUUUUCUGCUGGUGGAACUUCUCUUUUUAUUUGAAUAACAGCUUGUUUUUUCACUGCGCUGGUGGGAGUGUAGCAAAAGGACGUCACGGGUCUUUAAUACUUUGCUGGCCUUGGCAUCAGUAAAUCUAUUUAUUUCCCAAAAUACCAAGAAAGCUUUCAUUUUUCUAAAAUUUUCCAUGUCUUUCUCAGAUUUUCUUUGAGCCCAGACUUUCUGUGUCAGUUAGGAUUUAGGAACUAAGAAUGUUGGUUACCAGAGUUGCUGGUCCCCAUUGACUUCCAUAAUAUUUUCUUUCCCCCUGUAGAAUCUGUCAAUGGUUAGCAGCAACUAUUUGGAUGCCAACAUACCUCAAAAUUUCUUCUUUUAUGUUUAACAGAACAAAGAAACUCAUCCAGUUUUGAAAAAAAAAAAAACACAAGAAAUUAUAACAAUUUUCACUUUUGGAUGAACUAUCCCUUUAAGCUUUAAUUUUUUUCAUAUUUUAAAUUAGCUUUUAUCUUUAAUUUUCAGUUUUGAUUUUAAUUUAAGGAAGUUUUAAUAGUUUUGUGAUGCACUUGUGCAUUUUUAUUAUUUCUGGUUAACUGUAGUUUUUUUUAUUAUAUAUAUAUAUAUAUAUAUUAUUUAUAGUGUACAAGAAGCAAAAAAUUAUAGAUUCUUUAUAUAUAAUACUAGAUAAAUACUUGUUUGCUAUAUAAGCAAAACUUUUUUUUUUUUGGUUAUAUUUUUAAAUUUACACUUUUAACAAAAAAAUCAAGAACAUUUAUUUAUAACUAUAUCUGAACAUGACACAACAUCCCAAAAAUAUAGGAGACUUCAGGAAAUCCACUGAAUGAAGGUUAAAAUGGCCACUGGCUUAUAUUUUGGUGGUGCACUUGAAAAUGAAGGUACAGUAUGUGAUUCUGUGUGAUUCAGUAAAACGUAUUGUUGCUAUGAAGGCCUUAUGGGCUUUUACUUCCAAGAGAGGAUUUAAAACGUGAAGUAAGCAAUUCCGCACUUCCCAGUUAAAACCCAAUUAGGUGUAAUUAGAGAGAGCGUUUCCUGACUGUGUUGCGUGUAAAUGGAGUGGCUGGCAUCAUUCGUCAGUGUUUGUAUGUGUCGUCCUCCUCCUUCAGGGAUACUGACACUCUCUCUUUAAAUGGCCGUAUUGAUCGCAUCUCGUCUGUGUCUGUGGCUGCAUCUCCCGAGGAUAACCUCAGUAAAUUUUUAGGACUAGUCUCUCGCUCUUUCGCUCUCUCUGGCUUGGUCCCUCAUAGUAACCCAUGAAAGGAGAUAGAAAUCUGUCCUUUCAGAUGCUUUCUCUCCAGAUUGAUGGGCAGCUCUCCACGUCCACGCCGUCCAAUCCUGACACUUGUGAUGAAUGGAGGGUCCAAUCGGGGGACGUGACCCUUUGCCUCUUUAUCCUCCCUCACGUUUCUCCCACUUGGUUUGCUGGAAUGGAAGAAAGGCUAGGCUAUCUGGCCACAGCGGGUGGUUAUAGCUCUUCUUCUGUAGUUCCUCUGAGCUUUGGGUGAAGCAGAAGCGCAUAACUGGGGUCUUUAUACCUACAUGAAAGGAGGGAGAACAAAGAGAGAGAAUAAAGCUAAAGGAAGAGUAUAUAUCCAAAAAAUAAUACCUGAAAGGAAAAUGUUGGGAGUUGAUGGUGAGAUGAUAAGUGGUUCCCAUUCAGAAAAACACUCAGAGAUAGUGAGGAUGUUACAAGCUCUUUUCCAAGACUGGUAUUCAGCCUUCUAAGUCAGCAUCAUGAUGCAAAUGUAACCUCAAAAGUGUCUGAUUUUAUAUGCUUUACAUAUCAUCAGGCAGCAUCUUAUUCAUUCAUAAGUAGCAUACAGGCACUUGUGGAUUAAAUGCAUAGUCUGUUAUUUAUUUAUUUAUUUGUUUGUUUGUUUGUUUAACCAACUAAAAAUAUGUAUAAAUGACUUUUUAUCUAAUAAUCAAAUAUUAAUAAAUAUAAAUCAUAAAUAUAAUAAAUAUAUUAUUUUAUAUUUAUAUUAAAAAAGUGCGUGUGUUAUAUUAAUAUAAUAUAUAUAUAUAUAUAUAUAUAUUAGUAUUUGAGAUUAAAUAUAUAUUUUCACAUUUAUAAGCAAUUGAAUAUAUUUUAAAAAAUUAACCCGUUGAAUAUGUCUCUGAUUAAUUUUUAAUUGUGUGUGUGUGUGUGUGUGUGUGUGUGUUUGCUUGAUGAUGAGUUUUUGGCUCAAGGUUUACAACAAUUUAAAGUCACACCAGAGGUGUUCAGCUGGGAUUAGCACUUGGCUCAGUCAAGUUCAUCCACACUGACUGAAUCAGUC